GACGAACGCUGGCGGCGUGCUUAACACAUGCAAGUCGAACGGAAAGGCCCUGCUUUUGUGGGGUGCUCGAGUGGCGAACGGAUGAGUAACACGAGAGUAACCUGCCCUUGACUUUGGGAUAACUUCAGGAAACUGGGGCUAAUCCCGGAUAGGAGCUCCUGCUGCAUGGUGGGGGUUGGAAAGUUUCGGCGGUUGGGGAUGGACUCGCGGCUUAUCGGCUUGUUGGUGGGGUAGUGGAUUACCAAGGCUUUGACGGGUAGGCGGGCUGAGAGGGUGACCGACCACAUUGGGACUGAGAUACGGCCCAGAGUCCUACGGGAGGCAGCAGUGGGGAAGAUUGCACGAUGGGCGGAAGCCUGAUGCAGCAACGCCGCGUGCGGGAUGACGGCCUUCGGGUUGUAAACAGCAGUCGCCUGUGACGAAGCGGGAGUGACGGUAAUGGGUAAAGAAGCACCGGCUAACUACGUG
rnacentral:rRNA from 1 species